GCUCAGUGGUUAGAGCACUGGCCUUGUAAACCAGGGGUCGUGAGUUUGAUCCUCAC
rnacentral:tRNA from 1 species